AAGAAUUGAACGGUUUAGAAC
rnacentral:sRNA from 1 species